GACAAACGCUGGCGGCGUGCUUAACACAUGCAAGUCUAACGAAGUGGCGAACGGGUGAGUAACGCGUAAUCAACCUGCCCUUCAGAGGGGGACAACAGCUGGAAACGACUGCUAAUACCGCAUACUGAAGGAGGGGAUUGCGUCUGAGUAGCUAGUUGGAGGGUUAAAGGCCCACCAAGGCGAUGACCAGUAGCCGGUCUGAGAGGAUGAACGGCCACAUUGGGACUGAGACACGGCCCAGACUCCUACGGGAGGCAGCAGUGGGGAAUCUUCCGCAAUGGACGAGAGUCUGACGGAGCAACGCGGCGUGAGUGAUGACGGCCUUCGGGUGGUAAAGCUCUGUUAAUCGGGACGCGGUACCGGAAUAGAAAGCCACGGCUAACUACGUGCCAGCAGCCGCGGUAAUAC
rnacentral:rRNA from 1 species